rnacentral:rRNA from 1 species
GAUGAACGCUGGCGGCGUGCCUAAUACAUGCAAGUCGAGCGAACAGACGAGGAGCUUGCUCCUUUGACGUUAGCGGCGGACGGGUGAGUAACACGUAGGUAACCUACCUAUAAGACUGGGAUAACUUCGGGAAACCGGAGCUAAUACCGGAUAAUAUUUCGAACCGCAUGGUUCGAUAGUGAAAGAUGGCUUUGCUAUCACUUAUAGAUGGACCUGCGCCGUAUUAGCUAGUUGGUAAGGUAACGGCUUACCAAGGCAACGAUACGUAGCCGACCUGAGAGGGUGAUCGCCCACCCAGAAACGGAGACAGGGCCCGGCCCCCAGCGGGAGGAGCAGGGGGGGAUUUUUCCGCACUGGCGAAAAGCCGAGCGGAGCAACGCCGCGGGAGGAAUGAGGGUUUUCGGGUCGAAAACCUCUGUUAUUGGGGAAGAAAAAACGUGAAAAUACCUGUGCACGUCUUGACGGUCCCUAAUCAAAAGACCCCGACAAACUCCGUG